UCACGCUUAUCGCGCCAGCCCACACACACACACACACACAGUCGGCGACAGGACAGUGUCAUUAUUGACACAAAAUGUUUGCGCUGUAUCGCUGGUGGUACUCGUUCGGAAUCGAGGAAGGACCGGAGAAAACAUAGGAAACCGGCGGAUGUCCUUAAAUACGAUAGGUGUUUCCGGUGUCCUGGAACGCACCCUGUCUGGUUGCCGGGUGAAUUAGCUUGUUGGGAGAUCGAUGUUCACCCGCACCUGUAUCCCAUCAGUAAUCUGCACACCUGUCCUGAUCAUCACCUCUCCCCUUCAAAAGCUCUGACCUGACAUCCAUUCCCUGCCAGAUCGUUAGCCAUGAACAUUACUCACCCGGAUCAUUUACCCCAUUCCCGCCUGGUCGUCGGAGGAUUCCGCUACCCCAUUGGAUCCACCUAUUUACUCCCAUCAACUCACCACCGCUGCCCGCUACGCCACCUGGAUAUAUCUACCCAUUCACAUUCACUUGUAAAUAAAUACUCACCUUCUUCCUA